UCCUUCUUUUUCCCUCUUUCCUCUUCCUUCUUUUUCUUCCCUCUCUCUCAUUCUUUCCUUUAAUUCUUAUUUGAAAGCCCACGGCUCAACCGUGGAGGGUCAUUGGAAACUGGGGGACUUGAGUGCAGGAGAGAAGAGUGGAAUUCCACGUGUAGCGGUGAAAUGCGUAGAGAUGUGGAGGAACACCAGUGGCGAAGGCGGCUUUCUGGGUUACUACUGACGCUGAGGAGCGAAAGCGUGGGGAGCGAACGGG
rnacentral:rRNA from 1 species